AAUAACGGAGUAUUCAGUGCAAAAAUAGAGGGGGGACCGAGGAGAGGGAAGAAGAGAGAAAAUCAGGGAUGGAGUCGUAUGUGAAAUGGUUGAUCUACGGAGCGGGAGGGAUAGUGGUGGCGGGGAUGGCGUUGUUGGUGGCGUUUCAGGAGAAGCUGGUGUAUGUGCCGGUGUUGCCUGGUCUCUCCAAGUCAUACGCUAUCACACCCGCCCGCCUCCGUCUCCUAUACGAAGACGUCUGGCUCCUAUCCUCAGAUGGCGUCCGCCUCCAUGCUUGGUUUAUCAAGGUCUUCCCCGACUGUCGAGGUCCAACUAUCCUGUUUUUCCAAGAGAAUGCUGGAAAUAUCGCUCACCGCCUUGAAAUGGUUCAUAUAAUGAUACAGAAGUUGCAAUGCAAUGUUUUCAUGCUUUCAUACCGAGGAUAUGGAGCAAGUGAUGGUUAUCCUUCUCAGCAUGGAAUUACCAAGGAUGCUCAGGCUGCGCUGGAUCAUCUUUCUCAGAGGGGUGACAUAGACACAUCUAGAAUACUUAUAUUUGGAAGGUCUCUUGGGGGUGCUGUUGGAUCUAUGCUUGCCAAGAACAACCCUGACAAGGUUGCUGCCCUUAUAUUGGAAAACACUUUCACAUCUGUUCUGGACUUGGCUGGAGUUGUAUUGCCCUUCCUGAAGUGGUUUAUUGGGCACAGUAGUUCAAAAGGUCCUAAAAUUCUUAACUUCCUUGUACGUUCUCCGUGGAGCACAAUUGACAUAAUAGGCCAGGUUAAGCAGCCAAUCCUUUUUCUCUCUGGAUUGCAAGACGAGAUGGUUCCUCCAUCCCAUAUGCAGCUUUUGUAUGCUAAAGCUGCUGCUCACAACAAGAAGUGCAUUUUUGUGGAAUUUCCUAGUGGCAUGCAUAUGGACACUUGGCUUUCUGGUGGUGAUAAUUACUGGAGAACAAUUCAGCAGUUCCUUGAAGAGCAUGUUCCGGAGAAAGACGAAAAAGAAUCAUCUUAAAGGGAUAAAGGGUUGGGCUGCUGUUUUCAGAGUGCCUGGACAAAAUUGUGUCAUUACUCCGUCAAUUCGAUAGAUUUUGUUGUUAUGUCUCAAUAGAUUUUGAAGGAAGAUGAAUGAUUAGGAAUUUACAUUUCAAAUGUUAUUGAUUCACUCACCAGGGACCUCAAAGUCUUUGAACCUUCUUCUUCUUCUUACAUAAAUUGCAGUAGUUAAUAGCUAUAUGUGAAGAGUUGGAGCCUGCUGAGACCAGUUGAUCCCACUUGGGUUCUCUUGAAGAUAAUUUAUUGGUUUUCACAAGCUUCAACGGUCGCCAAAACAUGUGGAUGCCCCACAGGAUAUGGUAUAACGUUUUGACAUAGACGGAAGAUAGAUAAUCUGAGUGCUGACCUGUUGUUAUUGUACGAAAUGUCUGAAAUUGGAAACAUAUACCUAGUCUGGGUCGCUUGUAUAAUUUGUAGUCUAGCUGUUUUAAAGUCAUCUUCCCCAGAUUGUAAAACUUUUGAAUGCCCUAAUUGAUUAGCAAAAUCGCAGUAUGGCUUUGAUGGA